rnacentral:rRNA from 1 species
GAUGAACGCUGACAGAAUGCUUAACACAUGCAAGUCUUUGGCGAAGCUGUGCUUGCACAGCCUAGCCAAGGCGGACGGGUGAGUAACGCGUAAGGAACUUGCCCUGCAGUCAGGGAUAACAGACGGAAACGACUGAUAAGACCUGGUAAAGUCAGGCGGACUCAUGUCCAGCCUGAUGAAAGGAGAUGCUGCAGGAGAGCCUUGCGUCCUAUUAGCUUGUUGGUGGGGUAACGGCCCACCAAGGCGAUGAUAGGUAGCCGGCCUGAGAGGGUGGACGGCCACAAGGGGACUGAGAUACGGCCCUUACUCCUACGGGAGGCAGCAGUGGGGAAUAUUGGACAAUGGGGGCAACCCUGAUCCAGCAAUUCGGUGUGCACGAUGAAGGUUUUCGGAUUGUAAAGUGCUUUCAGCAGGGAAGAAAAAAUGACGGUACCUGCAGAAGAAGCGACGGCUAAAUACGUG